rnacentral:misc_RNA from 1 species
UUUCCGUAGGUGAACCUGCGGAAGGAUCAUUAAAGAGAAUACGCCCUUCGGGGUAGAUCUCCCACCCUUUGUUUAUAUUACCUUUGUUGCUUUGGCAGGCCCGUCUUCGGACCACCGGCUUCGGCUGGUCAGUGCUUGCCAGAGGACCCAAAACUCUUAUUAUUAAUGUCGUCUGAGUACUAUAUAAUAGUUAAAACUUUCAACAACGGAUCUCUUGGUUCUG